UACGUAGGUUGCGAGCGUUGUCCGGAUUUACUGGGCGUAAAGCGCACGCAGGCGGUUCCGAAAGUCGCAUGUGAAAGCUCCUGGCCCAACUGGGAGAGGCCGUUCGAAACUUCGGGACUUGAAGGCGGGAGAGGCAGAUGGAAUUUCCGGUGUAGCGGUAAAAUGCGUAGAUACCGGAAGGAACACCAGUGGCGAAAGCGAUCUGCUGGCCCGCCCUUGACGCUCAGGUGCGAAAGCUAGGGGAGCGACCGGG
rnacentral:rRNA from 1 species